rnacentral:tRNA from 1 species
GCUGAGGUGGCUCAGUGGUAGAAUGUUUGCCUUGCAUGCAUGAGGUCCUGGAUUCGAUUCCUCAGCA